GACGAACGCUGGCGGCGUGCCUAAUACAUGCAAGUCGAGCGAUCAGACGAGGAGCUUGUUCCUCUGACGUUAGCGGCGGCCAGGUGAGUAAUACGUGGAUAACAUACCUCUACGACUGUGUUAACUACGGGAAAACGGAGCUACUACCGGAUAAUAUAUUGAGUCGCAUGGUUCAUUAGUGUAAGAAGGUUUUGCUGUCACUUAUGGAUGGAUCCGCGCCGCAUUAGCUAGUUGGUAAGGUAACGGCUUACCAAGGCAACGAUGCGUAGCCGACCUGAGAGGAGGAUCGACCACACUGCUGCUAAGGCGCGGUGGAGACUCCUACUAGGGGAAGCAGUAGUGAGUCUUCCUGAAUAGUGGGAAGCUGGACGGAGCAACGCCGCGGGGUGGAGGAAGGUCGUCUGAGCGUUAUACACUGUUAUUGGGAAUGAAGAAAUGUUUAAUUGUUUGUGCACGUCUUGACGGUAGCUAGUCAGAAAGCCACGGCUAACUACGUG
rnacentral:rRNA from 1 species